rnacentral:rRNA from 1 species
GACGAACGCUGGCGGCGUGCCUAAUACAUGCAAGUUGAGCGCUGAAGGUUGGUACUUGUACCAACUGGAUGAGCAGCGAACGGGUGAGUAACGCGUGGGGAAUCUGCCUUUGAGCGGGGGACAACAUUUGGAAACGAAUGCUAAUACCGCAUAAAAACUUUAAACACAAGUUUUAAGUUUGAAAGAUGCAAUUGCAUCACUCAAAGAUGAUCCCGCGUUUUAUUAGCUAGUUGGUGAGGUAAAGGCUCACCAAGGCGAUGAUACAUAGCCGACCUGAGAGGGUGAUCGGCCACAUUGGGACUGAGACACGGCCCAAACUCCUACGGGAGGCAGCAGUAGGGAAUCUUCGGCAAUGGACGAAAGUCUGACCGAGCAACGCCGCGUGAGUGAAGAAGGGUUUCGGAUCGUAAAACUCUGUUGGUAGAGAAGAACGUUGGUGAGAGUGGAAAGCUCAUCAAGUGACGGUAACUACCCAGAAAGGGACGGCUAGCUACGUG